GACGUAGGGCGCGAGCGUUGUCCGGAUUUAUUGGGCGUAAAGAGCUCGUAGGCGGCUUGUCGCGUCGACUGUGAAAACCCGCGGCUCAACUGCGGGCCUGCAGCCGAUACGGGCAGGCUAGAGUUCGGUAGGGGAGACUGGAAUUCCUGGUGUAGCGGUGAAAUGCGCAGAUAUCUGGAGGAACACCGGUGGCGAAGGCGGCAUCCUGGACCAACACUGACGCUGAGGAGCGAAAGCCAGGGGAGCAAACGGGG
rnacentral:rRNA from 1 species